rnacentral:tRNA from 1 species
UGCCGAGUCGUCUAAUGGUAGGACGUCGCCCUCUGGAGGCGAAUAUUCCUGGUUCGAGUCCAGGCUCGGCAACCA